CAUUGAGGGUGAGUUCUUGAACCAUAUUUUCAUCAGCAAAGACUUUGUUUUGAUCUUUUCAACUGUAAAAUGAAAUUUUGGUUUACCUUAUUUGAAGGGCUCUUGAAUUUUGCUUUGUUGAACAGAGUAGACUUGCAAUGUAGACUUGGUUACUUGUGUAGUAGUGUCUUGAUGGGCUACACAGUUACAUAGCUUUUCAUUGAAAAAUGAAUCCGACCUGCACUGGAAAGUGUGACUAAUUUUAAAGUUUGUGAUUGAACCUUGUUUAAUUUUGACACCUUCCUUUUCAAUAAAUCCGUCUUUGCGUCAAACAUCCAAGUUCUUAUGUGGGGUUUUUGUUUUAAUUUGAAGAGCUAUACGUUUUAGCCCUUGUUUGACCCUCAUUUCAUUUUGGAGGAAAUAAUGUAUUUUGUGAAUAAUAGAUUGAUAGAGAAUGCUUGGUUAAAAAUUAAAGAAAAAUAUUGGAUUUGCGGGUAAUAUUAUUUUAAUGAAGGAUGUGUGUUUGAAAAUGAAUUUUGAAAAAAUGAAUUUUUAUAAGAAUGCGAAUCAAACAAGGGCUAAUUCAUGGGUGGUUUUAAUGAUAAAAUUAUGAAAUUGUUAGCUUUGAAAUAUUUUUAAGAUUGAGUAUUUAAAAGAAUAGUAAAAAAUUUCAAAUGGUUAAUUCAUGCUUCAUGAAUGAUAAAAUAAUAGUCAUUUUUAUGUGACAAUUAAUAAUUUGAUGCAUGAUGCAGUAAAAAAUUAUUUCAUUAAUUUAUCAAAUUACUAAUUGUUACAUGUAUGACGUAGUACAAUUGCGGUAGUAAAUGACUGCAAAUAAUAUUCUUUGUAAUAAGAUAUGCAAUUUGGGUCCACAUAAACUCAAAUAUUUUAAAUUCAAUUGUCAUUUGUCUCAGUUACAUCAGGGGAGACAAUAUUAUUAUAGAAAGGACAGAGGCAGAGAUAAUCCUUAAUGUCUUGUGAUUUUAUCUAAUCAUUGUUUAAUUAGGUCUAAUUACAAAAAAAACAAAAGAAAAAGAAAAAUCAUUUUGGUGGUUGAAGGGGUGGAGGGACAGGGAGCGUCCCAUCUGGCAACAUUUUUAAAUUUUUUCUAAAUUUAUAUAAUACAUAUGUAGUUUGCUCUGCUCCUGCAUAUUUUCACCCUCCAAGUGAAAAUUCUGGAUCUGCCACCGGAUGGUUGGAUAUUUAAUGUCCAUUUAUGUAUGUUUCCAAUCAAAAAUUUGGUAUAGAUUCCAUUAUUGAUGGUUCGGUAUUGAGUUUCUUGAAUAAUAUUAUCUACGACCAAUUACUUUUAAAAUAAUUAUGACUGAUUGAACGAUAAAUUAUCUGAUGUCAUGGACAUGAGGAUUAUUUUGACCAAAACAGCGCGAAUUUUAAUUCAUGAAACUUGUUGAAAAUGAUAUCUUAUUUGAGUUUGUAUUUUUAUAUGUUUAUGAAGUUAUUUUAUAUUGCAAUUUGUCGUAAAAUACACCGGAAAUUGUUGCUUGAUCAAAAUUGUAUUGUAUUGGAGUUCUACCUCAUCAUUUCAAUAUGUCUAUUUGUCAACUAAUUCAUAUAGCUUUUGAGCGUCUCGUGAAUGGCAUCUGGUAGCUUCUGUCCUCUAAUGGAAGUCUGUUUCUUGGAACACAAUAGCACUUAUAUAAUUAAGUCAUUUCUUUUUAGCUGAGUGAAACGUGCUCUAUAAUCAGCUGAUAGUACAUUUAUUCACAGUUUAAUUCUUGCUUAACCAUUUUUGUCGAAUAUAAACGGACAUAUUUUGGCAAUGAAAAUAUUGGUCAUGCUACUUCAAUUAUGAACCCAAGUAAAAAAUCAAUAUUGCGUGCAAAUAAAUGGAUUGCCUUUAUAUGAGGUUUUUCGUCUAUUGGAUUCUGUACUAAUUUGUCCAUUAUUUAGCCCCUGUUUGAUGGUCAUUAUUUCGAAGAAGUAAUGUUUUAAAAAUUUGGAGAAUGUGGUUAAAAAUUAAGAAGAAAGUUUUGGGUUUACGUGCAAAAUGUUUUAUUGUAUGAAUGUGUGGUUGAAAAUAAGUAUGAGAAUUAAAGAGUUUUAUUUUAAAGGGCUUAUUGACACGAAACAAUAGAGUAAAUGAUGAUGGAGAAUAAAAGGAGACCCGUCUUCCUUGAUCAAAGCAGCCUCAUGGGUUUGACGCAAAAACGACCGAAGAUUGAGGUGCCUCUCUCUGCCAAGGUAUCUUCAAUAACAGAGAGACAGCUUUCGAUGGGCUAUUUCUGGAAAUUUUGAAGUGGGUUUUACUGUAAAGUUGUGAUUUUUAUGGCCAUUUCUUUGGAUUAUUGAAGUGGGGUUUGGAGAUUAUUAGGAGAAGUUUGGAUUUCUGUUGCUGAUUCUGCAUUGAGGGUGAGUUCUUGAACCAUAUUUUCAUUAGCAAAGACUUUAUUUUGAUCUUUUGAACUGUAAAAUGAAAUUUUGGUUUACUUAAUAUGAAGGGCUCUUGAAUUUUGCUUUGUUGAACAGAGUAGACUUGGUUACUUGUGUAGUAGUGUCUUGAUAGGCUACACAGUUACAUAGCUUUUCAUCGAAAAAUGAAUCCGACCUGCACUGGAAAGCGUGACUAAUUUUAAAGUUUGUGAUUGAACGUUGUUUAAUUUUUGACACCUUCCUUUUCAAUAAAUCUGUCUUUGUGUCAGACAUCCAAGUUCUUAUGUGGGGUUUUUGUUUUAAUUUGAAGAGCUAUACGUUUAAGCCCUUGUUUGAUCCUUGUUUUGGAGGAAAUAAUGUAUUUUGAAUAAUGGAUUGAUAGAGAAAGUGGG
rnacentral:lncRNA from 1 species